AAAAAUUUAAACACAUGUAAAAUGAUGAAAAAUAUCUAACAUUAAACACGAUUACACCAACAUAAUUGAAAAUACCAAAACUCCAUUCUCCUCGUUUUUACAUCACUUGUCUGUGUUGUCUUCAACUUCGGCCCAAACGCUCUAAUCCAUGAGAUGUGCUUGGUGCACAGGGAAAUGUUGUACAGGUUUUUUUACAGUGUGAAUGUGUCAUUUUCUCAUUCAGAAUCGACGAUAAAACAGAAAAAAUGCAACGAAUAACUCCAAACCCUUACGUACUUCCCCCCAAAUUCUGCAACCACUUCAUCAAAUACCCCCAAAACUCCGAGUCUUAUUUUCGCACACACUACACAAAGCGCUUUUAUAAGAAUUCAAUCUCCCCUGUAAUUUUUCCUUUUUCAUUUUCCUCUGUUUCGAUUCGAGGUUAUUGAUGGCGAAUGAAUCCUCUAGCAUCGACAGAAACAAUGAAACGACGCCUUCACCGGCGGAUUCGUACAUUGGAAGUUUCAUAAGCCUCACAUCUAAGUAUGAGAUCCGAUAUGAGGGCGUUCUCUACCACCUCAACCCCCAAGACUCCACCCUCGGCCUAAAAAGCGGUUUUCCACCUUACACGUCUUUUGUUCUACAUUCAACGUCAGUCCCCUUGUUAAACCAACCACCAGCUAUGGUAACUCCAAAUCAACUGUCACAGCCCAGAGUACCUGAAAUUUCUCAGAUGCAGAAGUUAUACCCAGAUCAGAAAGAUGUGGGUGCUCCGGGUUCAAUUUCUUUGAAUUCCUUAAGCUCAGUUACUACUCCAGCAGCUCAACCACCUCUUUUGCAAUUCCCGCCAUCUUCCCAACAGUCGCAACACCUUUCUCAGUUCACCGAAGAAUUUGAUUUUGAAGCCAUGAAUGAGAAGUUCAAAAAGGACGAGAUGUGGGGUUAUCUUGGAAAAGCAAAUCAGAGAGAGAAUGUAGAGAGGAUUCAGCAUAAUGUGGUAAAUGGACAGAAUCCAGGGGGCGAAGAUCACUCUUGGCUUGGUUCCCACCGGUGAUCCCAAGCCUGCAUAUAACAAAGAUGAUUUCUUUGAUACGAUAUCUCGUAAUCAUAUUAACCAUGGAGCUAGGAACCGACAGAACCAUUUUUCUGAGCGAAUGAAACAUGACACUGAGAUCUUCGGCAAUAUUCAACAGAGAUCUCAUUCAGGUUACAGCAGUGGCUAUGCUGGUCGACAUGGUGACUAUCGUGGUCCAUAUAACUGGGGAAGAGGGUAUAACCACGGUGGUCAAGGCCGAGGAGGCUACACGUGGAGAUGACACGUAAUAUUCCUCGAUAUAGAGGUACAUCAGCUGCAGUAUUAACAUUUGGCAUGAUAGCAGUCCGACAUCUUUUUAUCCUGAGCUCCGGUUGCAUGAUAGCAAAGUAAUCGCAGGUUCAUAGUAUUUUUUAGCCCAUGUACCUGUAUAUCAAGAUGCUAGUUUUAACCACUAUAUCCGUGUUUUACGAAUUGCCGCUGGGAACAAAGAGUUGGACUCCUUUCCUUUAUUUUUUUAUAAGAGGUUCUACGGACUACUCUGUACUUUUAACAUUUGGCAUUGUGUGCCAUCAUUAGAAGAUAAGAGUUAUCAGGUUGUUUGGAUGACAGUUUGUCGUUGUGGCAAGUAUUUUAGUUCAGUGUCACUUCGUUUCCUCCAUGUAAAGCUAUCAAGAAAUUGUCGUCAUUUGAAUGACGUUUCAUCAA